CGUAGGGUGCAAGCGUUGUCCGGAAUUAUUGGGCGUAAAGAGCUCGUAGGCGGCUCGUUGCGUCGACUGUGAAAUCCCAAGGCUCAACCUUGGGUCUGCAGUCGAUACGGGCGAGCUAGAGUAUGGUAGGGGAGACUGGAAUUCCUGGUGUAGCGGUGGAAUGCGCAGAUAUCAGGAGGAACACCGGUGGCGAAGGCGGGUCUCUGGGCCAUUACUGACGCUGAGGAGCGAAAGCGUGGGGAGCGAACAGGAUUAGAUACCCUGGUAGUCCACGCCGUAAACGUUGGGCGCUAGGUGUGGGGACCAUUCCACGGUCUCUGUGCCGCAGCUAACGCAUUAAGCGCCCCGCCUGGGGAGUACGGCCGCAAGGCUA
rnacentral:rRNA from 1 species